ACGGCGGCGGCGGCGACGACUCGCCUAAUUGCAGGUGACGUGCGCACCGAAUCCGCACUUGGUACCCCCCGAGACGCACACACACGCCACGCACACGCGCAUCGAUCCUCCCGGUACGGGGAACUCUCGUCCCUCUCCCCUACCCCGAAACAGUCGAUAGUUUGCCGCUGCUGGAGGCGAUUCGAUCCGGCGCGCUGCUCUCGCAAUUAGGCGCGACGCGCCGCGGCUCGACCACGUGGAUUCGCGCAAAGUCGUCACUCGCGGCGUGGGCGCGAAUAAUCCGCGCGAAAACGAGCAAAAGCGAUCGCGACGACUCCCCCACGCCGGAAAUAGCCACCAGAAGGCGAGGAGAGACGGCGGAUCUCGAGAGCGGGAACGGGAAUAUCGGAGAUGCGAUUCUUAUAAAUUUUCUCACGAAAUAAUGAUAUAAAAGAAGCGCGCGUCGAAACUCGCUCCUCGGUCCUCAACACGGAUCCUACGAGCAGGCAACCCGGCUUUCGGCUUUUCUUGCUCGACGAAACGAUUUUCGCUCUAUAUAUCGGCGGCCUCGCGAAGGCGCCUACGAACAUGAGAGAGAGAGAGAGAGAGAGAGAGAGAGAGGAGAAGAAGAAGAGAGAGAGACCAUCCAUAUACCUCGCUACGCAGUGGAUGUACAUAAGCGUAGCCUCCACUCUUCUCAACUUGGCGUUGCGCCUGCAGCCACGGCAAGUACAUAGGCGCGAUCUAUAUAAGCCGAACACAUACCGUGGCGGCGGUUCUUUCACUGUCCUACAUUGAAAAUUGAAGGUCCUGCGGAAAAUGGUACGACAUGAUGUAACAGGACACAACCCGUUUAUACUGUUACGUCUGUUGUAUUACAAGCAAUAAUUAACUGCAUUUUUAUAAAAAUCGUCUAAAUAAAACUGCACGAAACAUUGGUCUUUAUCUAGCCAUACGUCGAGAAUCAAGAUUUUACAAAGGUCAAAUUUAAGACGGUAAUAAUAAAUAAUAAAUAAAUGUUAAGCAACAUAAACGAUAAUUAUUUAAAAAAAAAGUAGAGAAAAGUCACGUUUUCUAUUGCAACUUUUCUGUCUUAACAAAAGAUCCUUUUGGAAUUCCUCUUGUCAAAAUAAUAAAUAAUGAACAAAAUUUAAGUAAUAAAAAUGAUAAUUUGUUAUUUAAAGAUAUUUUCCUUAUAAUAUUGAUAAAUAAUACUAAUGUGGAGAAAAUUGAAAAUAAUUUUUUAUAAUAAUGAUUUAAAUGUAAUACAAAUGACGUUGCCACGAUUUCAUUUGUGUAAUGUCAUAUUUAAAGAGAAUUAUAUAAUUCAUGAGCAUUACAUACUCUUACACAAAAACGAUACGAUCAAACUUUAUUUUUUUUUUUAUUUCAAAAUGUUCUUAAAACUCCAUCCUAUCUUAUGAAUAUAGUUUUUCAAAAUUCUUACAUUUUGUUUGAUUAAAUUAUUUAAAACUCUUCUUCUAAGAAUAAGACUCAAUGCUAUUUUACAAAAUUAUUUAAAGAAAUCUAUAAGGUCAAAAAAAUUAAAAAAGUUCAGAAAUACUUAUAUGUUAAUCAUAAACUUAUUUUAAAAAUAUGACUAAGUUCUUUAUUAUGGGAGCAUACUAGAGAGAACUUUUUUAGAAAUUGUACAUUGUGAUUCAAGAAGAUUCUACAAAGAUCAAAUUUAAAUAACAUUGAUUUACAAGUUUUCUGUUUUUCAAUACUUGAAUGAUUCUAUAUAUUUUUAGUUGUUUAAAAAAAAAUGUAAAGUUAAAAAAGUUCGAACGGUAAUAACAUCUGUUUAAUGCUAUAUGUAUAAUCUCAUUUCGAAAAUAAAGAUAUUCACAAAAUAAGAAUGUUCUUUUCUUCUGCGUAAAAAAAAA